rnacentral:rRNA from 1 species
GACGAACCGUGCGAACGUUGUUCGGAAUCACUGGGCUUAAAGGGCGCGUAGGCGGGCUGACAAGUCUGGGGUGAAAUCCCGCGGCUCAACCGUGGAACUGCCUUAGAUACUGUCGGCCUCGAGGAAGGUAGGGGCAUGCGGAACUGUAGGUGGAGCGGUGAAAUGCGUUGAUAUCUACAGGAACUCCGGUGGCGAAAGCGGCGUGCUGGACCUUUUCUGACGCUGAGGCGCGAAAAGCUAGGGGAGCAAACGGG